rnacentral:rRNA from 1 species
UACGGAGGGUGCAAGCGUUAUCCGGAUUCACUGGGUUUAAAGGGUGCGCAGGUGGGUCUGUAAGUCAGUGGUGAAAUCUCCGGGCUUAACUCGGAAACUGCCGUUGAUACUAUAGAUCUUGAAUAUCGCGUAGGUAAGCGGAAUAUGUCAUGUAGCGGUGAAAUGCUUAGAUAUGACAUAGAACACCAAUUGCGAAGGCAGCUUACUUCACGAUCAUUGACACUGAGGCACGAAAGCGUGGGGAGCAAACAGG